rnacentral:misc_RNA from 1 species
CGGAGUUCAGUCUUCCCAGGCCCACCACUUUCAUCGAGUGAGCAUUCGUCUUCUGGUUACGGGGCCAUAGCUCAGCUGGGAGAGCGCGUGCUUUGCAAGCAUGAGGUCGUCGGUUCGAUCCCGUCUGGCUCCACCAGAUGGUUUGAUCGCCGAGAUCUUGCACCGUCGUCCGCGAAACAUCGCUUCGCAUCCUGCUAGUCUGGAUAGACAGCAAGAUGCGUGUUUUCUGACAUCGUAAAGAGGAGAUCGAUCCGAGUUGGGUCGUGCAGCAGAUUGUUGCGCGAAUCCUUCAUUAUCUCCGGAUCAUUUUCGGCGCUCGCUUUCAGCCGUGAGGUUGAAUGCGAGUUGUAAAAUGAUCCUUUUAGCGAAGCUUGACCGCCUCGCUAUCGGAACGAUCUUACGAAGCAAGCUGGUCUUUCUAGUCAAUGUCCGGCUGCAGAUAGCGUUCGUCGAGGGCGCGUGCCGCAAGGCAAUUCUGCAGACAACAUUCUGCCGAGUGUGUGGACAUUGAUAAUGAGAGCAAUCAAGUGCCUUAAGGGUGUUCGGUGGAUGCCUUGGCGCUGAGAGGCGAUGAAGGACGUGCUACGCUGCGAUAAGCCGUGGGGAGCUGCGAAGAAGCUUUGAUCCGCGGAUUUCCGAAUG